UGAGGUUGAUUGCACAAUAUGAUGAAAAAUUGACUGACCAUUGGUGUCAACAGCAUAAAUAGUAGACUGGAGAAGCUCAAGCACUUGUCCAAAAGUUUGGCAGUCAUAAUUAUUGGUAAAGAUAACACUCCUCAUCAAUGGUGUUUGACUCAGUCUGUUACACACGCCAAUGUCAGCAUUGGCUCUCAGUAAUAACUUAAUCAUCUCUAUAUGUCCCAUUGAGCAUGCCCAAUGAAGAGAAGUGUGGCCAUCAUCAUCAAUAACACUGUUAACUUGAAAAUCCGGGGGCGGCGAAUACAGGAAGGAAGGAAUGCGUCCCUCUUCUGGGUGAAGAAAGAAGUCAAGUAGUGACUCUUCAUAUUUGUCAAGCGGUGCCUCCAACAUGCCUAACUCUUCAACAGGUUUUAUAGUGUUAUCAUUUGGUGAUAGCAGUGCAUUAGGAGACGCUGGCAGAGGUGUUGCAGAAACUUGCUCCUCUGCACCAGGCAAAUUCACUUUAUUCAUAGAUGACUCAAUUGUUGGUGAUAUAGAAGAAUUCGGUUGUUUUUCAUUGACGGAAUGCAAAGUGCUACUAGAAAGUGACGACGGUUUACGGCCUCUACGGCCACGUACAGAAGGCUUUUUCUGCUUGGUCUGCUUCUUCUUUGGAGCAAUUGCUUUUCCCUCAUCAAUGUCAAGACUCAAUAUUGGGCUCAUUAUUCCGUCAACCUUAUACUUUGUGGCCAGGUCGACCCCACGCUGAAAUGGAACCCAAGUUCCUAUAGUUUGGUUAAUACCGUCAAUCAUUUAGAGGACGCGUCCAUAGAGAUAUUUAAUACAAAAAGGUAUUAAAAUACCUCGAUUUGGCUUAGUAAACACUCAAUUGUUCGCGUUGUUCAAAGAUAGCAAAUCAUGUCACAACGCGUAACAGUAGACAACUUACCCUGAUAUUUUCCAUAUCCACCUUGUACUUUUUCAUGCGCACCAAUCUGUACUUGUCUUUCUAAAACCCUUGUCCUUUGUGGUUUGUCAAAGUCAGCCACUUUCAAGAUUUGUGUAGCAUUCAACCAGGAAUCGCGGCGUCUGCGCAUCACAGAGACACCUUUAAUAAAGCAUUCAUAGACUUCAACCCCAGAAUAAACGGCAACAUGUACUGCGGAAGAACGUGGAGCCAUUACAGCAAAAGGCAGUUAAAAUGCGUAGCGCGGACUCUUAAAAGGGUGCAUGCAUUGCGUUCGCUCACCCUACCUGCGUAUACACAUAACAAUAGGGAAGGGUGGGGCAAUACAGAAAAUCAACUAUGUAGUUACUGAAUAUAUAUUAGCACUAAUUAAAUAAUGAGUAUUCACUUAAUGAAAGGAAUCAAUGGGAAGUCUCAGUUGCCAAAGAACUACACUUGUAAUACUGAAUUGCAAA